AUUAAACGCUGGCGGCAUGCCUUACACAUGCAAGUCGAACGGCAGCACGGGGGCAACCCUGGUGGCGAGUGGCGGACGGGUGAGUAACACAUCGGAACGUGCCCUGGAGUGGGGGAUAACGCAGCGAAAGCUACGCUAAUACCGCAUAUUCUGUGAGCAGGAAAGCAGGGGAUCGCAAGACCUUGCGCUUUGGGAGCGGCCGAUGUCGGAUUAGCUAGUUGGUGGGGUAAAGGCUUACCAAGGCGACGAUCUGUAGCGGGUCUGAGAGGAUGAUCCGCCACACUGGGACUGAGACACGGCCCAGACUCCUACGGGAGGCAGCAGUGGGGAAUUUUGGACAAUGGGCGCAAGCCUGAUCCAGCCAUGCCGCGUGCGGGACGAAGGCC
rnacentral:rRNA from 1 species